AUUUAUGGGUUUUUUGGUAAUAUAUAAAUGUUAUUAAUGUUUAUACUAUUAUCAUUUAAAACAUAUAAAUGGUUCAUUAGAAACAGAAUUUCAAGCAUGUCCAUAGCUAGUCAAAUAUAAUACACCACAGAUUUUUUAUCCAUUGGCACACACACCAAGUUUGCUUCAGAGUUUAGGGUUAUUCCCCAAUCCCCAUCAAACAGAUCUUUACAUAAGAUUCUCAGAUCAACAACGUAGUAACGAUGCUGUCGAGAAUAAAUUAUUACAGAUUGUUCAUCUCUCCCUUGUCGUCUUUGUUGUCUCGGGAGGCCUGCAGAAUUCAAGAAUCAACCAACACCACCCUUCACCCUUCGUAUGUAAGACAUCUGAUUCUAUUCCAUGCCUUCCCUCUUUGAAGUAGUAGGUAUGUUUCCACUUUUUUUUUCCUUUAUAUCUUUGAAUUUGAUUCACAGACAUGCAUUAUAUUGUAUAUAAUAAUAUUUGUUGGGGGUAAAACGAGUUACUGUUAA